AUGCAGGGAGGGGACCUGAGACAAGGUGCAGGAAGGUGGGCAGAACGAGACGGCAGAAGAUUCUCGGAGGAAGCACCCAUCUGCUGUGGGCAGGCCUAGCCAAGGUGCUGCUCUCCCCUCAGCUUCACCACUGUCCCCAGGUACUCCAGUGAUACAUCUCCAGAGUUGCUUCCUGUCCUGGCCAGGGCCCAGCCGCCAUGACACACACGCCAGUGGAGGAAUCCCUCUUCCAAAUCAUCUACUGCUACCAUGAGUACGCAGCCCGGGAGGGGGAUGUGGAGACCCUGUCCCUGGAGGAGUUGAAGGCUCUGCUUAUGGAUAACGUACCUGCUUCAUGGAGAGCCUGGGUCGGAAGGAGCCCUGCUACAUCUCGGAGCUGUUCAGGGCUGCAGACAAGAACCGGGACAACCAGAUCUGCUUCGACGAGUUCCUGCUCAUCCGGGGCCGGCUGCUGAGGGACUACCCAGCCGGCACAGCCUGCACCAGAUGGAGAUGCGCGGGCAGCCUCCGGCUUCAGCUAGAUCUGUGUGCCACAGGAGGGGCGGUGCCUUUGUUUCUGACCAGUCAAGCUCUGUAGCUCGGUGUUGCCCCCAGUGCUCCCUGGGCCUGGCCUCCCACUGGCACCCCUUGCACAUUUGCCAAUCUACCAGUGCUGACGCUCAGGACUCAGCUGGGCCCCAGCUGCCUCCCUCUGGACCUUCCUGCAUGCUCCCUGGGGUCUGCACUGCCCUUCGGAGGUGCAUGUCCUGCUGCACCUGUGGAUUGCGCCCCGUAUAUAGGAAUCCGAUUCCCGAGUCUGUGCUGCCUCCUGUGGGCCUCUUAGUCACGACCAGAGGCAUGGAUGGGCAGGGAUUGCCCCAUUCACCUGGUUGGGAAACCAGAAGCUGUGGCAACUCCGGAAGGGAGGAGCUAUCUCUGCAUGGCCCAUGGCCCUGGCAGCUGGCCAAAACCUGGCUUGCUAUAAAAGGGAGCCGACACUGAGCCCUGCAUGUCUUCUGUCAACUCUGUUUCAGGGAGA